AUGUCCAGCCAUAUGGUCAAACCACACAUACUACUUUAUAUACAUUUAUUAUAUAAUGAGUGGCGUAAAAACCAUAAUAUUAGAAUUUAUAAAGAGUCAAUUAAACAAUCAAGGUUCAUUAUUAAAGGCGCUGUGAGUGAAUGAUGGAAAAUUUGAGUUUUAAGUAAUUUCUUAAAUGAAGCAACAGAAGAACAGUUUUUAAUGUGAGCUCUCACUGGCUAAUACCUGAGAGCAUUAGAGAAGACAAACAACAAUGAAUGCAUGAAAGCAUGCAACAAAAAUACAGUACUGUACAUGUACAAACAGGAUGUUCAAAAAAUAAACCAUAACACCAAGAAUGCUCUGAACCAGAUGCUUCAACUCGUCAUCAUUGAUCUAUGGUGGAUUGAGUGGUAAAGACGCAGAUAAAUUUAUGAUUCAGGACUUUGAAUGGCAUGCACUGGUUUCUGAUUCCGAGGCUAUAAACCUUGAGGGAGACAGUCAACCAGUCUCCAUCGUACAUUUGAUAGAAUGGUAAACGAAAUAGGAAUGUACAAAUGAGAUUGAAAUAUAUAGUUGGAAUUUAACAUACGACAACACAGCAACAUCCCAUGAUUCACAUAAUAACCAUCUGAAUGUGGCCGAAACAACUUCUUAGAAUCAUGUGUUUAGACCUUAACACUGCUUACAAGACAUUUUAUGACUCUAUAUGAUUUGUUUAGUUUUCUAUUCUAAGGAUGACUAUCACAUGGUUAAAUAUUUCUGAUGAUGUUACUAUUUUAAGUAUAAUAAAAAUAAGGCAAGCAUAGAUCGAUGAACUGUGUAAUGAAAAUAAACUGGUACUAAAAUAAAACGUUAGUAAAACAAAGGAAGUUUGGGAAACAGAAGCUUGUAUAAAUUUUCAUUGUACAGUACAACAUAAAUAAGUUUAGGCCCAAGUUUUGUUUAUGUGAAUAAUAAACCAUGCUUAAAGCAUCUUGACCCAUGAUCUUCAUAAACUGUUUUGUGCUAUUGUAAUCACUAUUAAAAAGGCACAAUGGCACCUACUCCAGUAUAUUUUUGUGUGCGUCAAGACAGAAGUUUUCAGGGUUAAUUCACUCAUAUUACUUUUUUACAAGUCUGUAAUUCGAAGCGUUCUAAAUUUGUUAUUUUGUGGUUCAGCGAAGCUACGAAUAA